UACGGGGGGAGCAAGCGUUGUUCGGAUUUACUGGGCGUAAAGCGUGCGCAGGCGGUUUUGUAAGACUGUCGUGAAAUCCCCGGGCUUAACCUGGGAAUGGCGAUGGUGACUGCAAGGCUAGAGUUUGGCAGAGGGGGGUAGAAUUCCACGUGUAGCAGUGAAAUGCGUAGAGAUGUGGAGGAGCACCGAUGGCGAAGGCAGCCCCCUGGGUCAAGACUGACGCUCAUGCACGAAAGCGUGGGGAGCAAACAGG
rnacentral:rRNA from 1 species